GGAGAAACAUAAAAUAUAACUGACACUUAGCCGAAAAACACAAUUUCACUAUAGCCGGAUAACCGCAUCCGUAUACAAGCCCAUAAUCUUGCUCCGAGAGGUACAAAUACAUGUGGAGACAUACUGUUUUUGCACAUCUUUGCACCAUGGCCAGAAAUUUGGGACAGUAUGACUGCUAACUAUGCGCACAACUGACCAAUUUUGCGAAUUCAAGAUGGCGGAAAUGCUAAGAAUUAAUACUAUAAUCAUACAAAUGCGAUGCGAAUGCUGAAACAAAAUAUAAUUCUCAAAGUGUUUACGUCUAGAAAUGUACAAAAUACCUCGACGAGUAUUCCCCAAAACUCUUGACGUGUCACGAUUUGCCAUUAUUCCGCCCGAGUAACUCAAUUUUACAGUAUAAUCUCGCAAUGUAAACUCCUAUUAAGUACAGUAAAAUCCCCAUUGUUUACCAAGUUAAGGCCAGUGUAGUGUUGCUCCAAGAGCUCGAAGACGAAUUGUUUACGUCUACAUUUCUUGUACGACAGUUAAUCUCUCCUUUUGUAUUGAUUUAGAUUCAUCUUAGCUUGUACGCGCUCAGUGGCGUAACGCAACCACUGGGGGCCCUCCGUCAAUCGGCCACUCUGGGCCCCCUUUGCUCAACUAAAAAUAGGCUCGGAACAAUUUAUUUUUGGCGACUUCCCCCCCCCCCCCAGUCGCAAAAAAAAUUUCGGCCAGUGUACCAUUUUAGGGGUCCAAAAUUUUUUCCGGACAUACACAAUGAGAUUGCCAAUAAAUCAUUCUAGUAUUUCGUCCUUUUCCUCAGCCGCGACGUACUUAAUCCGUCUCAGCUUCAGGAAUGUUACGUGUACCCCCCACCAAAUUUCUCCAAGGAUCAGAAAAGGAUUUUUUUAAUUCAAUUCAAUUCAAUUAAUUCAAUUCCCCAGAAAUGUGCUAUCAAAUUUUUUAUGGUCAUUUUUGUCGGGGGCCCCUAAAGUUCGGGGACCCCCCGUCACUGGACACCCUGACACCCUCCCGUUACGCCACUGUACGCGCUCCGCCAAACGCAUUUAAAAUAGCGUGUAUUUCAUGAGAACUGUAAGCUAAUACCAAAUGUUUUGGACAAAGCACUGCGAAAUCCCAAAACUAUGAACGUUUUAAAAGCGUCGUCGUGGAUUCUUGUCAACCAUUUUGAAAACAUUUGUACGUACAACCGCUGAUUGUUGUUUAUAAAGGACAGGGGGCUCCAAAAUAGGGAAAAAAAUCGCGCCAAAGUCAAAUUUAACUACCGUGAAAUUCACUAUAUUUUGAUGUACUUUUGUAGUUUUGGGCUUAGAAACUAUUGUGUUCAAUCAAUUAAAAGAUUGUAAAUGAGGAAAUAGUUGCCACAGUCUUUAACUGAUAUAAAAGUAGCUCCGAAGUUUGCUUGAGACGCCUUUAAUGUCUGUUUGUAUUAUGCUGACGCUGCAGAAUUUAGCGAAUUUUUGCGCCCGCAAUACAUUUCGCUGACUGUCCCUCAUUUCUGGCCAUGACAUUUGCAAGCUAAUAAGUAAUAACAUAUCUUCCUUUUACGAAUUUUCGAGUCCUGUGUGGGUUGCGUGAUAUAUAACACGAAAUCAGUUCAACUUCAGAGACGAUUUCUCCGGAAAUGUGCAAGCCUUCGAAGUGUCUCCGCACAUUAUCAUUGCAUG